UGAGUUCGCUAGGCAAUCGCUGUUCUUAAGAAUGGAGGAAAGUCCGAGCUUCAUAGGGCAUGGUGCUGGAUAACGUCCAGACGGCGUGAGCCGAUGGAAAGUGCAACAGAAAAUAAACUACCAAAGCGCUUUGGCACACUGCCAAGCCUUUGGAAAAGGUGAAACGGGGCGGUAAGAGCGCACCGCAGACUUGGCGACAAGGCUGGCUAGGCAAACCCCACCAGAAGCAAGACCAAAUAGAAAGCCGAUACAGUUGCCCGCUGUGGCUUUGGGUAGGUUGCUUGAGGCGUUGAGUAAUCAACGUCCUAGAUGAAUGAUUGCCCACGACAGAACUCGGCUUAUCGGCGAACUCACAUC
rnacentral:RNase_P_RNA from 1 species